rnacentral:rRNA from 1 species
AGGGCGUACAGUGAAUGCCUUGGCAUUAGAAGACGAAGAAGGACGCGAUAACCUGCGAAAAGCUCAGGGGAGCUGGACAUAAGCCUUGAUCCUGAGAUAUCCGAAUGGGGGAACCCGGCAUAAGUCAUGUUAUGUCAUCCUGUUAUGAAUCAAUAGUAACAGAGAAGGAAGACCUGGGGAAUUGAAACAUCUUAGUACCCAGAGGAAAAGAAAGAGAAGAAUCGAUUCCGAGAGUAGCGGCGAGCGAAAGCGGAGGAGCCCAAACCGAUGAAGAAUCGGGGUAAGGACUGCGAGAAGAGAUGAUAUCAUCCGAGAAGAAUGGCGUGGGAAAGCCAACCGAAGAAGGUGAGAGUCCUGUAAGCAUAGGGGUGAUAUACUCAAGCAGAAUCCGGAGUACGGCGAGGCACGAGGAACCUUGUCGGAAUGAGUGCAGACCAUUGCAUAAGGCUAAAUACUAACUAAUGACCGAUAGUGAACCAGUACCGUGAGGGAAAGGUGAAAAGAACCCCGGGAGGGGAGUGAAAAGAAUCUGAAACUGUAUGCCUACAAGAAGUCAGAGGGCGUUAAAGCCUGAUGACGUGCCUAUUGAAGAAUGAGCCGGCGAGUUAUGUUAUCGUGCAAGAUUAAGUAGAAGAUACGGAGUCGAAGCGAAAGCGAGUCUGAAAAGGGCGAGGAGUACGAUGACAUAGACCCGAAACGGGAUGAGCUAGCCAUGAGCAGGUUGAAGGUGGAGUAGAAUCCACUGGAGGACCGAACCGACGUUCGUUGAAACGCCCGCGGAUGACUUGUGGCUAGGGGUGAAAUUCCAAUCGAAUUCCGUUAUAGCUGGUUCUCCCCGAAAUAGUUUUAGGACUAGCGUCAGGGUGAAGUUUAUGGGAGGUAGAGCACUGAAUGUGUGAUGGCCGCGUCAAGUGGUACUGAAUACAAUCAAACUCCGAAUGCCGAUAAAUAUACCUGGCAGUCAGACUGUGGGAGAUAAGUUCCAUGGUCAAAAGGGAAACAGCCCAGACCGUCAAAUAAGGUCCCAAAGUAUAUGCUAAGUGUGAAAGGAUGUAGAGACGCUUAAACAACUAGGAUGUUGGCUCAGAAGCAGCCACCAUUUAAAGAGUGCGUAACAGCUCACUAGUCGAGUAUCUCCGCGCCGAAAAUUUACCGGGGCUAAGCAUAACACCGAAUUUACGGAUUAGAAGCAAUUUUAGUGGUAGGGGAGCGUUCCAUGAGCGGCGAAGUCAUACCGAGAGGAGUGGUGGAGCGAAUGGAAGUGAGAAUGCCGGCGUGAGUAACGAAACUGGGUGAGAAUCCCAGUCACCGUUUGACAAAGGUUUCCUGGGGAAGGUUCGUCCACCCAGGGUAAGUCGGGACCUAAGGCGAGGCCGAGAGGCGUAGUCGAUGGACAUCAGGUUGAGAUUCCUGAACCCGAUCAUAGAGUGAAGUAAUGACAGAGAGGGCUAAUCGAGCCGCCGACUGGAAGAGGCGGUCCAAGCGAGGUACCUGAAUCACAGGCAAAUCCGUGAUUCGCAAGGGGGAAGGCGUGACGGGGAUUGAAUGGCUACGGCCUAGUAGAGAAGGAGAGGAAGCCAGCUUUCGAGAAAAGUUGCUAGCGAUACAAAUAUGAUCGGCCCGUACCGAGAACGAACACACGUGGUCAAGGAGAGUAUCCUAAGGUGAGCGAGAAAACUAUUGUUAAGGAACUCUGCAAAAUUACUUCGUAAGUUAGCGAGAAGAAGUGCUGCAGCGAUGCAGUCGCAGUGAAGAGGCCCAGGUAACUGUUUAACAAAAACACAGCUCUAUGCGAAGUCGUAAGACGAUGUAUAUGGGGUGAUGCCUGCCCAGUGCUGGAAGGUUAAGAGGAGAAGUGAACCGAAAGGGGAAGCCUUGAAUUGAAGCCCCAGUGAACGGCGGCCGUAACUAUAACGGUCCUAAGGUAGCGAAAUUCCUUGUCAGGUAAGUUCUGACGCGCACGAAUGGUAUAAUAAUCUGGGCGCUGUCUCGACAAUAGACUCGGUGAAAUCUUAAUACCUGUGAAGAUGCAGGUUACCCGCGACUAGACGGAAAGACCCCAUGGAGCUUUACUAUAACUUAAUAUUGAGCAUUUGUGGAUCAUGUACAGGAUAGGUAGGAGACGAAGAAGUAGGGGCGUCAGCCCGUAUGGAGUCAACGUUGGGAUACUACUCUUGAUCUACGGAUGUUCUAACCAAGGCCCUGCACGGGGUCGGGGACAGUGUUAGGCAGGUAGUUUGACUGGGGCGGUCGCCUCCCAAAGAGUAACGGAGGCGCCCCAAGGUACCCUCAGCACGGAUGGAAAUCGUGCAUUGAGUGCAAAGGCAUAAGGGUGCUUGACUGCGAGACAGACAAGUCGAGCAGGGACGAAAGUCGGGCUUAGUGAU